rnacentral:rRNA from 1 species
GACGAACGCUGGCGGCGUGCUUAACACAUGCAAGUCGAACGGUGAAGCGCCUUCCUUUUUGGUGGGUGUGGAUGAGUGGCGAACGGGUGAGUAACACGUGAGUAACCUGCCCCCUUCUUCUGGAUAACCGCAUGAAAGUGUGGCUAAUACGGGAUAUUCUGGGUCUGUCGCAUGAUGGGUCUGGGAAAGAUAUUGUUUCGGUGGGGGAUGGGCUCGCGGCCUAUCAGCUUGUUGGUGGGGUGAUGGCCUACCAAGGCGGUGACGGGUAGCCGGCCUGGGAGGUUGGCGGGCCCCCUGGGGCUGGGGCCCCGGCCCGGCUGCUGCCGGGGGCCGCAGGGGGGGAUUGUGGACAAUUGGGGGCAGGCUUGAGGCGGCGCGGCGGGGUGGGGGUGGGGGCCCUCGGGUUGUGAACCUCUUUCGCCAGUGAAGCAGGCCUGCCUCGUUUGUGGGUGGGUUGACGGUAGCUGGAUAAGAAGCGCCGGCUAACUACGUG